UCUUCAUCUCUCUCUCAAUCACUAUUCAUCUUCUUCCCCCAAAUUGCACAAAAUAGAAAAAAAAAACCCCUUCUCUAAAUUUAGAGUUUCAGCUCCCUCCCCUCCAUCAUCUUCUCCUUUCCUCUCUCCCCCCCUUUCUCGGUUCUUCCUCUUCCUCUCCCGGAGCAGCCUCCCUCUCAUGCCUCUCUCACUCUCUCUCUAUUCUCCGGCGAAGACGUUGCCACUUUGACGGAAAUCUCGGAGUCCGCCGUCGUGCGGGCCCUCGCGCCGUCCUCUACUUCACGCCACGAGCAGCAGCUCCUACCGCCGUCGUCCUGCUGCGGAUCCGCCCCAGCCGCCGUCGCGGGUCCGCCCCAGCCGCCAUCGCCGAGGAUCUCCUCCCCCUUCCAGCCGCCGACGCCGAUUUCGACAAGCAAGAGAUUGUGAAAUUAUCCUCGGCAGUGAGUGGUGCGGGCUGCCGGAGCUGUUGACGGAUCUCCGGCAGAAGUGUGCUCCCAAGUUAAACUUCUCUAACCUUUUGAUUAUUAUUGAAUUUAUUUUGGGUUUUCACGUUUUUGGAUCUACUUUACGUUUUUGGAUCUAUUUUAGUAUUUCUUGAAAUUUGGAAGACUUGAAGGUGAAACAUACUAUUAGACUAGACUAGGUGUUGUAAAUUCCAAAUUUGGGCAGAUUCUAACUUUGAAAUUGUAUAUACAUGCUUGUACAUAGAUGAAAGAAAAGAAAGGCUUGAUGUUUA